UACGUAGGGUGCAAGCGUGAAUCGGAAUUACUGGGCGUAAAGCGUGCGCAGGCGGUUAUAUAAGACAGAUGUGAAAUCCCCGGGCUCAACCUGGGAACUGCAUUUGUGACUGUAUAGCUAGAGUACGGUAGAGGGGGAUGGAAUUCCGCGUGUAGCAGUGAAAUGCGUAGAUAUGCGGAGGAACACCGAUGGCGAAGGCAAUCCCCUGGACCUGUACUGACGCUCAUGCACGAAAGCGUGGGGAGCAAACAGG
rnacentral:rRNA from 1 species